AGUGAACGCUGGCGGUAGGCCUAACACAUGCAAGUCGAACGGCAGCACAGUAAGAGCUUGCUCCUACGGGUGGCGAGUGGCGGACGGGUGAGGAAUACAUCGGAAUCUACUUUUUCGUGGGGGAUAACGUAGGGAAACUUACGCUAAUACCGCAUACGACCUACGGGUGAAAGCAGGGGAUCUUCGGACCUUGCGCGAUUGAAUUAGCCGAUGUCGGAUUAGCUAGUUGGCGGGGUAAAGGCCCACCAAGGCGACGAUCCGUAGCUGGUCUGAGAGGAUGAUCAGCCACACUGGAACUGAGACACGGUCCAGACUCCUACGGGAGGCAGCAGUGGGGAAUAUUGGACAAUGGGCGCAAGCCUGAUCCAGCCAUACCGCGUGGGUGAAGAAGGCCUUCGGGUUGUAAAGCCCUUUUGUUGGGAAAGAAAAGCAGCAGGUUAAUACCCCGCUGUUCUGACGGUACCCAAAGAAUAAGCACCGGCUAACUUCGUG
rnacentral:rRNA from 1 species